GGAUAGCUCAGCCAGUAGAGCAUGAGACUCUUAAUCUCAAGGCUGUGGGUUCAAGCCCCAUGUUGGGCA
rnacentral:tRNA from 1 species